rnacentral:rRNA from 1 species
UACGGAGGGAGCUAGCGUUGUUCGGAAUUACUGGGCGUAAAGCGCACGUAGGCGGCGAUUCAAGUCAGAGGUGAAAGCCCGGGGCUCAACUCCGGAACUGCCUUUGAAACUAGAUUGCUAGAAUCUUGGAGAGGCGAGUGGAAUUCCGAGUGUAGAGGUGAAAUUCGUAGAUAUUCGGAAGAACACCAGUGGCGAAGGCGGCUCACUGGACCGGUAUUGACGCUGAGGUGCGAAAGCGUGGGGAGCAAACAGG